GACGAACGCUGGCGGCGUGCUUAACACAUGCAAGUCGAACGGAAAGGCCCUUCUUUUGUUGGUUGCUCGAGUGGCGAACGGGUGAGUCACACGUGAGUAACCUUCCCUUUACUUUGGGCUAACUUCAGGUAACUGGGGCUCAUACCGGAUAUCAGCUCCUGCUGCAUGGUGGGGGUUGGCUAGUUUCGGCGGUUGGGGAUGGACUCGCGGCUUAUCAGCUUGUUGGUGGGUUAGUGGCUUACCAAGGCUUUGACGGGUAGCCGGCCUGAGAGGGUGACCGGCCACAUUGGGACUGAGAUACGGCCCAGACUCCUACGGGAGGAAGAAGGGGGGAAUAUUGAACAAGGGGCGGAGGCCUGAUGCAGCAAGGCGGCGGGCGGGAUGACGGCCUUCGGGUUGUAAACCGCUUUAGCCGGUGACGAAGCGUGAGUGACGGUAAUGGGUAAAGAAGCACCGGCUAACUACGUG
rnacentral:rRNA from 1 species